AUUGAACGCUGGCGGCAUGCCUUACACAUGCAAGUCGAACGAAGGCUUCGGCCUCAGUGGCGCACGGGUGCGUAACGCGUGGGAAUCUGCCCUUAGGUUCGGAAUAACAGCUGGAAACGGCUGCUAAUACCGGAUGAUAUCGCGAGAUCAAAGAUUUAUCGCCUGAGGAUGAGCCCGCGUUGGAUUAGGUAGUUGGUGGGGUAAAGGCCUACCAAGCCGACGAUCCAUAGCUGGUCUGAGAGGAUGAUCAGCCACACUGGGACUGAGACACGGCCCAGACUCCUACGGGAGGCAGCAGUGGGGAAUAUUGGACAAUGGGCGAAAGCCUGGUCCAGCAAUGCCGCGUGAGUGAUGAAGGCCCUAGGGUUGUAAAGCUCUUUUACCCGGGAAGAUAAUGACUGUACCGGGAGAAUAAGCCCCGGCUAACUCCGUGCCAGCAGCCGCCGUAA
rnacentral:rRNA from 1 species